rnacentral:rRNA from 1 species
CCUACGGGAGACUGCAGUGAGGAAUAUUGGUCAAUGGACGAGAGUCUGAACCAGCCAAGUAGCGUGAAGGAUGACUGCCCGAUGGGUUGUAAACUUCUUUUAUAAGGGAAUAAAAUGUGCCACGUGGGGGAUUUUGUAUGUACCAUAUGAAUAAGGAUCGGCUAACUCCGUGCCAGCAGCCGCGGUAAUACGGAGGAUCCGAGCGUUAUCCGGAUUUAUUGGGUUUAAAGGGCGCGUAGGUGGAUUGUUAAGUCAGUUGUGAAAGUUUGCGGCUCAACCGUAAAAUUGCAGUUGAAACUGGCAGUCUUGCUUACAGUAGAUGUGGGCGGACUUCGUGGUGUAGCGGUUACAUGCUUAGCUCUCCCG